GACCAGACUCCUACGGGAGGCAGCAGUGGGGAAUAUUGCACAAUGGGGGAAACCCUGAUGCAGCGACGCCGCGUGAGCGAUGAAGUAUUUCGGUAUGUAAAGCUCUAUCAGCAGGGAAGAAAAUGACGGUACCUGAAGAAGAAGCCCCGGCUAACUACGUGCCAGCAGCCGCGGUAAUACGUAGGGGGCAAGCGUUAUCCGGAUUUACUGGGUGUAAAGGGGGCGCAGACGGCGAUGCAAGCCAGGAGUGAAAGCCCGGGGCCCAACCCCGGGACUGCUCUUGGAACUGCGUGGCUGGAGUGCAGGAGGGGCAGGCGGAAUUCCUGGUGUAGCGGUGAAAUGCGUAGAUAUCAGGAGGAACACCGGUGGCGAAGGCGGCCUGCUGGACUGCAACUGACGUUGAGGCCCGAAAGCGUGGGGAGCAAACAGGAUUAGAUACCCGUGUA
rnacentral:rRNA from 1 species